CUGCUUGUUUGUAUGUAUCACUGUCAUUUGUGGAUGUUCCUAUCUGCCAGUUGUCAACUCCGGGUCUGAGGUGUGUUUGCCUCGACAGGAUGUCUGAGGUUGAAGCUGAUUGCAUAUGUUUGAAACAAGUAUUUUCGAGGUUCUCGCCGGAACUGCAAUGGCAUCUCUUGGGGCUAUCACCAAGGAUGGGGUUGCUACUCCCAGUGUUGUCUCUGGGACUGGAACUGAGCGUCGCAGUAUUAUCACCGAGACAAAACUGUCCUCUCCGGUGUUGUUGUCGGUCUUUUGAUCUGCAUAUCUCGGGGUUAUCUCCGAGAUUGGAAAUGACAUUCCCGGUGUGUGUUACGGGUUUGAGAUGAUGUUCCCGG
rnacentral:lncRNA from 1 species